UACGAAGGGGGCUAGCGUUGUUCGGAAUUACUGGCGUAAAGCGCGCGCAGGCGGUCUUCCAAGUCAGUGGUGAAAGCCCGGAGCUCAACUCCGGAACUGCCAUUGAAACUGUUAGACUUGAGGACGAGAGAGGUGAGUGGAAUUCCCAGUGUAGAGGUGAAAUUCGUAGAUAUUGGGAAGAACACCUGUGGCGAAAGCGGCUCACUGGACCACAACUGACGCUGAGGCGCGAAAGCUAGGGGAGCAAACAGG
rnacentral:rRNA from 1 species